ACUGUUGCAGUUAAUAUAACCCCGUAAUUUACAUCAAAUUGUGGAGGUUUGAAUAACCCCUCCAUUUUUUUACCAAUUACGGGGGUCAUUAACUGUCGCAACCUUCAAAACAAAAAUUUCAUGAAAUUAACGCGGGGACUUUUUCUUUUCCUGCCAUUUCCCCCAAUUUUUUACAAAACUUAUCUCCCAUAUCAUUUCCUCAGUGUUCAUUCACUUGCAUUCAUACUUCUCCACUUCUAUCUCUUAGCGAUUUCUCUCAAUUUAACAUCUUAAGGUUUUGUCAUGUGGCCAGGAGGUCACGGGUUCAAGCCUUGGAAACAGCCUCUGACAGAAAUGCAAGGUAAGGCUGCGUACAAUAGAGUCGGGUCCUUUACCGAAUCCUGCGCAUAGCGGAAACUUAAGUGCACCGGCCUGCCCUUUUUUAAGGUUUUUGUGUGCUUAAUCCUGAAGUUUAAAGAUGAUUUGUUGACUUAUGGAUCUAAAUAUUGUGGAUAACGAUGAUAUUGGAUAAGAAAAAAUGACGUCGGUAUCAUUGGAUUCACCGGCGUCGGCGGCAUCUGGAAGUUUGGAUUUGACAUUGUCAACUCCGUCGCCGGCAGUGGCAUCUGUGUGUAUGGAGCUCUGGCAUGUGUGUGAUGGACCUUUGAUUUUGUUGCCAAAGAAAGGAAGUGUUGUCGUGUACCUACCUCAAGGUCACUUGAAACAUCUCUAUGAGUGCUUGUCCAUAGCUUAUAACCUCCUUCCUAACAUCUUAAGUCGCUUUGUAGAUGUGAAGCUUCAAGCGGAUGAGACUUCUGAUGAGGUCUAUGUACAAGUCUCACUAGCUCCUGACAAUCAGAUACUAUGUUGAAGAAUGUUGCAAUAUCAUACCCUACAUAAAGAGGCUACAAUAUCAUACCAUGUUUAUCCUAAGUUUUGAGGCAGAGACCUAGCCCUAGAAUUGGCAAAGUGUGGCCUCUGCAUCAUCGGUUGUGCUUUUUCAGGACAAAAUCAAUGCGCUUGUGUUGGAAAUGUCAUUGACCUUCAUUGAUAAUCUUGCUUUUUAUUCUGGCACUUGAGAAAUUUGAGAUUGUGAUGUAGCGGUAUAUAUGGUAAAGCUGAGCUAAUUUCCUUACCUCUAUUAUUUGUCAUUUUUCAAUUUUUAACCAAAAAAUAUUAUAUGAUAUAUACAAAAAACGGACAAAGAAUGUUGUUGAUGUAGAUGACUAUAAUAAAAUGAAGGAAGCUGACCUAGAAUUUUACCGAGAAGCUUCUCUUCUCCAGUAUAGGAAGGUAUGCUUAAGCCAUGAUCCUUAGUUUUGUUUGUUUUUAUUUAUUUUAGACUUCAGACUGCACUGAUCAUGUAGAUUAUUUUGUAGUAUCAGAUGCUUAAAUUUGCUUGCAGAGAGGGUCAAGUGACAGAGAGUGAUUUUUUUAAUGGUUUGGCCACAAUCUGCACAAAGUUCUCCCAUGAAUGGAUGGUUAUGUUCCAUAUCACUCUUCAAGAAUUGAGAUGUGCCAAGCAUCUUCAGGGACAACUCGAAAAAGGGAAAAGUAUUUCGGGAGAUGCUGAAUGAUUGCUUGGACCUAAUACGUUCUCAAUCAUAUUCCAAACAUCGAGUGUUCAUGAGUUGUAAUGUCAACUUUGACACAACAUUGCAAUGAAGGAAUUGAAUGGACUGUCAUAUAGAGUUCAUGGAGUCGGACACAUUUGUCCAGAUCAUAAUGUGGUCAUUUGCUAGUUGUUUACAUGACUUAUGGGUUGAUCAAUUUCUUCAUCGUAAUAGCGCUCCCAUCUUCUGGAGCCUGCCUACUGUUCGAACCUUAAAUUUUAUGCCUAAAAUGAUGACGGCUCUAGGAUGCCAAGGUCUCGACACACUCCGUGACCAUGAAUAUGCCUGUUGUGGUAAGUCAUUUGUAAGCUGGUUUUGGUGUAGCUGCUCAACCUAGAUGUGUUAUAACUCAAAAGCUCAGUUACAAUGAUACCUAAGGCCGGAAAGGUAACGACUAAUCUGCGUUUAGUGGAGAUCACAACAUUUUUGGACUUUGAAUUCCUAGUAUCAGUAGAUUGUGCAGUAAAUUGAAUUAUCAGGUACAAUGAAGAUCAAUUGUAACUUUAUUUUUAAUUUUAUCAAAGUAGACUCUGGGCAAGACUAUAUUACCUGCUUUUAUUGUAAUCUAUUUUUAUGUGUUCAAAUGCUAAUAUGAAUAUAUAACUUAAUUUAUCGAUUA